GCCAUACAUUUAAAGAGUGCGUAAUAGCUCACUGGUCAAGUGGUAGAGCGCCGAAAAUGAACGGGGCUAAAAUCUAAUACCGAAGCUGUGGACUACGAAAGUAGUGGUAGAGGAGCAAUGUGUAAGAGACGAAGCAUAAGGCGUAAGCCGAUGUGGAUUUUACAGAAGAGAGAAUGCUGGCAUGAGUAGCGAAAGGUGAGUGAGAAUCUCACCCGUCGAAAACCUAAGGAUUCCUGAGGAAGGCUCGUCCACUCAGGGUAAGUCGGGACCUAAGCCCAGGCUGAAAAGCGUAAGCGAUGGACAACAGGUUGAGAUUCCUGUACUAUCUUUGAAUGUUUAAGAGAUGUACUGACGCAGGAGGAUAUGUUGAGCGUGUGAAUGGUAGAGCACGUCUAAGUAUGUAGGUAGAAUUUUGAGGCAAAUCCCAAAAUUUAAUACUGAGAUACGAUGGGGAUCGAAAAACAAGUAGAGAAGCAACAGACUCCAAACUGCCAAGAAAAGGUACUAUUGAGUGAGAAGAUACCCGUACCAAAACCGACACAGGUAGGCAAGGAGAGAAUCCUAAGACGCGCGGAAGAACCUUUGUUAAGGAACUCGGCAAAAUGACCCCGUAACUUCGGGAGAAGGGGUGCUCUUUAGGGUGCAAGCCCAGAAGAGCCGCAGUGAAUAGGCCCAAGCGACUGUUUAUCAAAAACACAGGUCUCUGCUAAACCGUAAGGUGAUGUAUAGGGGCUGACGCCUGCCCGGUGCUGGAAGGUUAAGAGGAGUGGUUAGCUUCGGCGAAGCUACGAAUCGAAGCCCCAGUAAACGGCGGCCGUAACUAUAACGGUCCUAAGGUAGCGAAAUUCCUUGUCGGGUAAGUUCCGACCCGCACGAAAGGCGUAAUGAUUUGGGCACUGUCUCAACGAGAGACUCGGUGAAAUUUUAGUACCUGUGAAGAUGCAGGUUACCCGCGACAGGACGGAAAGACCCCGUGGAGCUUUACUGUAGCCUGAUAUUGAAAUUCGGCACAGCUUGUACAGGAUAGGUAGGAGCCUUUGAAACGUGAGCGCUAGCUUACGUGGAGGCGUUGGUGGGAUACUACCCUAGCUGUGUUGGCUUUCUAACCCGCACCACUUAUCGUGGUGGGAGACCGUGUCAGGUGGGCAGUUUGACUGGGGCGGUCGCCUCCUAAAAGGUAACGGAGGCGCUCAAAGGUUCCCUCAGAAUGGUUGGAAAUCAUUCAUAGAGUGUAAAGGCAUAAGGGAGCUUGACUGCGAGACCUACAAGUCGAGCAGGGUCGAAAGACGGACUUAGUGAUCCGGUGGUUCCGCAUGGAAGGGCCAUCGCUCAACGGAUAAAAGCUACCCCGGGGAUAACAGGCUUAUCUCCCCCAAGAGUUCACAUCGA
rnacentral:rRNA from 2 species